rnacentral:tRNA from 1 species
GCGGCAAUAACUCAAUGGCAGAGUGUCACCUUCCCAAGGUGAAGGCUGCGGGUUCGAAUCCCGUUUGCCGCUCCA